rnacentral:rRNA from 1 species
UACGUAGGGUGCGAGCGUUGUCCGGAAUUAUUGGGCGUAAAGAGCUCGUAGGCGGUGUGUCACGUCGGCCGUGAAAACCUGCAGCUUAACUGUGGGCGUGCGGUCGAUACGGGCAUCACUGGAGUUCGGCAGGGGAGACUGGAAUUCCUGGUGUAGCGGUGAAAUGCGCAGAUAUCAGGAGGAACACCGGUGGCGAAGGCGGGUCUCUGGGCCGAUACUGACGCUGGAGGAGCGAAAAGCUAGGGGAGCAAACAGG